UCCUGCACUGCCCCUUUAAGAAAAAUCAGACCGCUCUCAUUCUAACCCAGAGCUCAGUGGCCCUGCAGCAGGAACCAGGUAUAGAAUAAAAGCUUCCACCUCUGAUGUUUUUGUCCUGGACCAAUGCUAUUUAUUUACUUCAUCAUCACCCUCCUCAAUCUUCAAUUUAACCACUUCACUGCCGGUCAGAAAUGCCUGGGCACUGUGGCAAACGUCUGCUUGAAAUAUGUCCCUCUCCCUUGUAUGAGAAUGUAUAAGAAUGCCUGCUCCCCGGCUGAAUAAUGACAUAUUGACUCUUUAAAGGUCUUGGCUUGCAGAUGUGGGUAAGUCACAUUUUUCUUUUGCAUUUAUUAGAGCUAAAGCUAAUCACUCCUAAAUAUUACAAUAGGCACCUUUUUGUUUUCCAUCUGUCCACAAAACUGAUAUUCACUCCUCAUUGAUCACAGGAAAGAGAAGUUCAGUUAGGGGAAUAGUUAGGGCUGCUUGAUUGAUGGGCAGUCUGUUUUCUGGGAGAAAGAAGUGUUUCUAUUCAAGUGUCCAGGUCACCUAGUAAUGGCGACAGGUUAAGGUAGACUUUAAUUGGCUUCCACUUUAGGAAGAGAGGGCUGGCCAUAGUUGUCAGGAUUUUACUAACAUUGCAAUAACUAAAUAUUUAUCUAAAGGGGAACUAUCACAAAAUGAAAAUUUUAUAUCAGCUUCAUCAUACUGAAAUAAGAAACGUUGUAUAUGCAAUUAAUUAAAUAUUCUGCAUCAUUUCUAAAAUAAUCAAGUUUAUGUUCACUAUCCCUCUCGGUUUCUCUACAUUGUCUUCAUACAGAUCCAAUAUAUCUUAUAGGAGGGCUUCCUUUUCUAGCAGAUAUAUUAGAGCUCACUCAAAUAACUGA